rnacentral:misc_RNA from 1 species
GAAAUGCGAUAAUUAAUGUGAAUUGCAGAAUUCAGUGAAUCAUCGAGUCUUUGAACGCACAUUGCGCCCCCUGGUAUUCCGGGGGGCAUGCCUGUCCGAGCGUCAUUGCUGCCCUCAAGCACGGCUUGUGUGUUGGGCUUCCGUCCCUGGCAACGGGGACGGGCCAAAAGGCAGUGGCGGCACCAUGUCUGGUCCUCGAGCGUAUGGGGCUUUGUCACCCGCUCCCGUAGGUCCAGCUGGCAGCUAGCCUCGCAACCAAUCUUUUUAACCAGGUUGACCUCGGAUCAGGUAGGGAUACCCGCUGAACUUAAGC